AGUUACUCGCCCUGGGGGUCUUUUGUCUUGAAAACAAAAUAGGAGUGUUCGAAUCACUUAGUGACUU
rnacentral:tRNA from 1 species